rnacentral:rRNA from 1 species
UGGGGAAUAUUGCACAAUGGGCGCAAGCCUGAUGCAGCCAUGCCGCGUGUGUGAAGAAGGCCUUCGGGUUGUAAAGCACUUUCAGCGGGGAGGAAGGCGAUAAGGUUAAUAACCUUGUCGAUUGACGUUACCCGCAGAAGAAGCACCGGCUAACUCCGUGCCAGCAGCCGCGGUAAUACGGAGGGUGCAAGCGUUAAUCGGAAUUACUGGGCGUAAAGCGCACGCAGGCGGUCUGUCAAGUCAGAUGUGAAAUCCCCGGGCUUAACCCGGGAAUUGCAUCGGAUACUCGUUAGCUAGAGUCUUGUAGAGGAGGGUGGAAUUCCAUGUGUAGCGGUGAUAUGCGUAGAGAUGUGGAGGAAUACCGGUGGCGAAGGCGGCCCACUGGACAAAGACAGACGAUCAGGUGCGAAAGCGUGGCGAGCAAACAGG